rnacentral:rRNA from 1 species
UUGACCUCGGAUCAGGUAGGACUACCCGCUGAACUUAAGCAUAUCAAUAAGCGGAGGAAAAGAAACCAACAGGGAUUGCCCCAGUAACGGCGAGUGAAGCGGCAACAGCUCAAAUUUGAAAUCUGGCUUCGGCCCGAGUUGUAAUUUGGAGAGGAUGCUUUGGGCG